rnacentral:piRNA from 1 species
UGGCAUUCAGUUCUUUGAAGGUGG